CUUUGGCUGUUACAACACACGGGUCGCUGUGUUCAAACAGUUUCUAGCUUGCUAGCUACUACAACCUCGAAUACCUAUGCGGCUCGGCUAGGUUGUUAUGUUACGAAGGAGCUAAAUACCUCCGGCUUUGCAUUUCCCCAUAAGCUUUCAAACGUCAUUGCUUUGACCUAUGAGCCAUUUCAAAUGUUAGCCUGCCUCCGUUAGUACCUACAAAAAUACGAGAUUAAUAUUGCAGAACUGUUUACAUAGUAAGAAUGCUGAAUAUCACAUAACUUAUGUGAUUUCAUCAGUAUGUGCUAAUUUCUAGCUUGUUUUAACCAUUUGUAUAUACAGUAACAAGUAAAACAAUAUUGCAACUUCCGGUAGCCUUGCGUUCUAGUUUUUCGCGCAUGUCUAUGGUUCGAACAUGGGCGUCGUAGUAGGUGAAUGUCUUGUCAGCUGACAAUCAGCAUCUUUGGCUGUUGCAACACACGGGUCGCUGUGUUCAAACAGUUUCUAGCUACUACAACCUAGAAUACCUAUGCGGCUCGAUUAGGGUGUUAUGUUACGGAGAGCCAGAACUGUCGAAGGAGCUAUACCUCCAGCAUGGCGGCAGAAAUACAACCCAAACCGCAGACUCGGACGCCUGUUCUGCUCAAUAAAAUCGAGUCUUCCCAAGAUGUUGUGAACACGGCGGUUAUAAUUCCGAAGGAGGACGGGGUGAUCAGCGUGUCUGAUGACAGGACGAUCCGGAUAUGGUUGAAGAGAGACAGUGGCCAGUACUGGCCCAGCAUCUAUCACACUAUGCCAGCUUCAUGCUCCUGUAUGUCCUUUAACCCAGAGACCAGGAGGCUGUCUGUGGGAAUGGAGAAUGGAACCAUCUCUGAGUUCAUACUGUCUGAAGACUACAACAAGAUGACCCCGGAAAGGACCUAUGAGGCCCACCAGGGCAAAGUGACAGUGGUGCUCUUUGUGUUGGAGAUGGAGUGGGUCCUUAGUACAGGACAGGACAAGAACCUCACCUGGCACUGCUCUGAGAGUGGAACACAGCUGGGGUUAUACCGCACCAUAGCCUGGGUCUCUGGACUACAGUUUGAUGUGGAGACAAGGCACGCCUUUGUGGGUGACCACUCUGGUCAGGUGACCAUCCUGAAGCUGGAGCAGGACAGCUGUAGUCUGGUCACCACCUUCAAAGGACACACAGGCAACGUGACGGCACUGUGUUGGGACCCGGCCCAGAGAGUGUUGUUCUCUGGCAGCUCAGAUCACUCCAUCAUCAUGUGGGACAUCGGGGGACGCAAAGGCACCGCCAUAGAAUUGCAGGGACACAAUGAUAAGGUCCAGGGCCUGUGCUAUGCGCCACACACACGUCAACUGAUCUCCUGCAGCUCAGAUGGAGGCAUCGUCAUCUGGAACAUGGACGUGACCAGACAGGAGACCCCAGAGUGGCUGGACAGUGACUCGUGUCAGAAGUGUGAGCAACCAUUCUUCUGGAACUUCAAACAGAUGUGGGACAGUAAGAAGAUUGGCCUGCGCCAGCCGAGUAGGGCCAACCCAAGCCCCAGUAUCUCCUAUCUCCUCUCCCCCAGCACCACUGCAGGAAGUGUGGGCAGGCUGUGUGUGGAAAGUGCUCUGCCAAGCGCUCCACCAUCCCUCUCAUGGGCUUCGAGUUCGAGGUGCGGGUGUGUGACAACUGCCAUGAGUCCAUCACAGACGAGGACCGGGCGCCCACGGCGACAUUCCAUGACAGCAAGCACAGCAUAGUUUACAUGCACUACGAGCCCACGACGGGCUGGCUGCUGACCUCUGGGGCCGACAAAGUCGUCAAGCUCUGGGACAUGACUCCAGUGGUCUCCUGAGGGUCAUCGUUGACAGGGAGCAACAUGGAGCUCCAUCCACCUAUCAGGGUAGAGCUUACAGCCUGGUGGCUGUCAUCCUGAGAGGAAGAGGGAAUGUCAACAAGAACAACCACCACCACAACAACAGCUAAACAACUUACAACUGCAGAGCAACAUCCACAGAAGCUAGAAACACCAGGCCUUUCUUGCUUGUCCUCGUCCCUCUUGGUGACUAAACGUGAAAAGCUUUACACUGGCUGCAUAAAUAAUUCCCUAUAUUGUUUGGUUUAUUAUUAUAUUUAUGACAAUAGUUUUGUAGUAAAGGGAACUCAGUUUACCUACUGAACAUCAAAUACAGCUAGGUGGGCAAAUAUAUAGCUUAUAUUGAAGUGCCUUCCUCUUAUUUUCUUAUAGCUUUCCCUCCGGUUAACAGAAAGAAUGAACCAAUUAGUCCUAAAACAAAUUGAAGCACGAAAUGUACCUGGGUUGUGAAUACCAGUUAGAUAUGUAACUUGUAUGUACAGCAGCAAGAUGGAAUACUCUAAUAUAUUCAUGAAACUACAGAAGGUCCCAAAGUUGACCUUAUAAGGCUCCAUGGUUUGACUCUUUGUUUUUAACAUUGUUGCAGUCUGCAGAGGGCAAAAUACCACUGUUUCUAGGUGGAUCAUGUUUCAGUUGGUGUCAGGAGGGUCAUAGCCUAAUGUAUGGGAAUUAAGCUCUUACCCUACGAGCUACGAAUCCUGCUUGUUUCCUGUACUUGAUAAUUAAUUGCAACCACCUGGUGUCCCAGGUCUAAAUCAGUCCCUGAUUAUAGGGGAGCAAUGAGGUCCAGAGGUGAAUUUGAGGGUACUACUGUAUAGCUUCUAUGCUCUCUGAAAGUCAUCACACAUACACACACAGCUGGUGAACAAGUCUACAUGUGGUAUCUCACUGUCAGGUAAUGGUUGACCGCCACAGAUGUAGAGGACUUGGAGAAAGAAAUGUUUUUCUUUUUUUUAUGAAUACUGUAUUACAAACUGAAGUUCUAGUUUAGGCUUGCCAAUUGAAAUGGUAAAUCAUAAAGAACAUGCUCAUUACUUUACUUUAUUGUAGAGUUAUUGAAAUGUCACUAUACUUUUGACUUCGGUAGUGGACUUAGGGUGGCAAAAUUCCAGAAACAUUCAAUAAAUUCCCUGGUUUUCCAGAAAUAGUGGUUGGUCAUUGGAUACCGGAGUUCCUGCCUAUUCCGGGAAUCUUCCAACCGGAAUUUCGGGAAAACCAGGGAAUUUAUUGAAAGUUCCAGAAAUGUUGCAGCCUUACUUAAACAUGAUUCACUACUUGUAGACUCUUCUAUGUUAUUUGCACUUCAGUUGUUACGGUUCAAUUUCUCAGAGAACAAAAUCAUAACAAAGCACUUUUUAUUGUCCAAUACAUACAUUUACAAUAUGUUGUCUACAGACUCAAAUGACACAGGGUUGUAGGCUGAAAAUAUUUAUUUUCCAUUGAGGUGAGGGGUAUACCAGCCUGGUGAUCAGUUGUUAGUGGAUGUGUGUGUCAAAUGUAUUUGUGUUACGAUGAGUUUAUUUAUUGCUGUGUGUGUGUUACUGUAGCCUCCAAGAUAGACAUCUCUCAUGUAAUACACACACCAUCAAGAUCAUUAUCAUUGACUGAUAGUGUGGCUAUGAAUCAGGACUUUUGUGUGAUAGAUAGUUUUUUACGCUUUAACAUUCUCAAAGUGUAUUGAUGGUUAUGAUAGGUGUCAUAUCCUGGAUAUAACUACAGUUGUUCAAGUUAAGUUCAUGCACAUGAUUUGUUUUCUAGGCAGAGCCACUAUUGUAAAACCACAACAACCUGUCUGCAUGUUGAUAUUUGUGUUAUACAACCAUAAUUAGCCAUGAUACUUUUUCAUGAAUACUAGCAUGUUGAUUAAUCCGUCACACAUAUCUUGGGCCUAAGCUAAUACAUAUCUACUGGUGGAGAAUGGCUGUAUGGGGCUCUAAUGCUAUUUACUGUAGUAGUCAAUCACUGACUUGAGAAUUAUACUAUUCCUAUACGUUUCCUCAUUUAAUGACCUCUGUACAGUUAUCAUUUUUGGGAGGCAAAAAGGUAUGAGUUCCAUGUUGAUUCAUAAACCAAGACUGAUUUACAAUAUCUGAAUGACUGCUGAUAUGAUUUGAAAUACGUUUUUCGUGUUAUGUUUUUAUGUAACCUGGAUACCAGUCUCUUUUUCUGCUUUCAUCAGCAUGUUAUCAUUGGCAACACUAGUGUUACUAAAUGGAUGAACUGUCAGUCUGUCACCUAGGCAUACCGGUUUUAUGUGAUGCAGUAUGAUUAUCACAGGUUGGUGCUGUACUGUGUGUAUGUAACCCAGGGGGGUUUAUCACAAAGCAGGAUCUGGAAUCAGAAAAUCAAGAGCUAUAGUAUAUCUGUUUAUCAAAGCAAGGUAGCUAACUCCUUAAUACUGCUCUGUGCCAUUUCCAUCCAGUCUUAAUGUGCAGUUUGUCCAAGCAGCAGAUUAUUGGAGAUUUUCUAGUCGUUAAGAAUAUCAUUCCUACAUGUCUCAUCCUAAAGCUGAUCUGGGUACAGGUCAUCUGAGUAGAGAUGUGUGCUCUUAUCAUUCUAUCAUUUUAUUUCCCCUUGUUGUACUGCAGCUGAUGUACUCAUGUUUGUAUUUCAUAAAAUGUAUAUGAGGUGACAAAGACAGGAUGUCUCUUCAUGUGAAUGCCUAGUAUUCAUGUAGAGAUUCAGCUGAAUUCUUCAUUUAAAACAAGUUGUUCAGCUCAUCAGCUCUCUCCAUUGUUCAAUCUGUCAAUAAAUCACGCUUUGUCCAGAAA